rnacentral:rRNA from 1 species
UGGAUCCCCUUUUUGAUCCUGGCUCAGGACGAACGCUGGCGGCGUGCCUAACACAUGCAAGUCGAGCGGGGAUAGCAAGGAGCUUGCUCUGAGCUAUUCUAGCGGCGGACGGGUGAGUAACGCGUGAGCAACCUGCCUUUCACAGGGGGAUAACGCAUCGAAAGAUGUGCUAAUACCGCGUAAGACCACAGCACCGCAUGGUGCAGGGGUCAAAGGAGCAAUCCGGUGAGAGAUGGGCUCGCGUCCGAUUAGCUAGUUGGUGAGAUAACAGCCCACCAAGGCGACGAUCGGUAGCCGACCUGAGAGGGUGAUCGGCCACAUUGGAACUGAGAGACGGUCCAGACUCCUACGGGAGGCAGCAGUGGGGAAUAUUGGGCAAUGGGCGAAAGCCUGACCCAGCAACGCCGCGUGAGGGAAGAAGGGUUUCGGCUCGUAAACCUCUGUCCUAUGGGACGAAGGAAGUGACGGUACCAUAGGAGGAAGCCCCGGCUAACUACGUGCCAGCAGCCGCGGUAAUACGUAGGGGGCGAGCGUUGUCCGGAAUGAUUGGGCGUAAAGGGCGCGUAGGCGGCCUGUUAAGUCUGGAGUGAAAGUCCUGCUUUCAAGGUGGGAAUUGCUCUGGAUACUGAUGGGCUGGAGUGCAGGAGAGGAAAGCGGAAUUACCGGUGUAGCGGUGAGAUGCGUAGAGAUCGGUAGGAACACCAGUGGCGAAGGCGGCUUUCUGGACUGAAACUGACGCUGAGGCGCGAGAGCGUGGGGAGCAAACAGGAUUAGAUACCCUGGUAGUCCACGCGGUAAACGAUGAAUGCUAGGUGUAGGAGGUACCGACCCCUUUUGUGCCGGAGUCAACACAAUAAGCAUUCCGCCUGGGGAGUACGGCCGCAAGGUUGCAAAUGAAAGGAAUUGACGGA